rnacentral:tRNA from 1 species
GGCUGGUUAGCUCAGUUGGUUAGAGCGUGGUGCUGAUAACGCCAAGGUCGCAGGUUUGAUCCCCGCUUGGUCCU